rnacentral:rRNA from 1 species
UCCUACGGGGGGCAGCAGUGAGGAAUAUUGGUCAAUGGCCGAGAGGUUGAACCAGCCAAGUCGCGUGAGGGAAGACGGCCCUACGGGUUGUAAACCUCUUUUGUCGGGGAGCAAAGAGAGUCACGUGUGACUCAUUGAGAGUACCCGAAGAAAAAGCAUCGGCUAACUCCGUGCCAGCAGCCGCGGUAAUACGGAGGAUGCGAGCGUUAUCCGGAUUUAUUGGGUUUAAAGGGUGCGCAGGCGGAGGUGCAAGUCAGCGGUCAAAUUGCGGGGCUCAACCCCGUACUGCCGUUGAAACUGCAUCC